CACCAAUGUAAGACCAAGUAGCUUAACUUCAUAGCAAUUGAAGAGCCAAAUUCAGAGCUAGUAGAUACUAUUGUGACCAGUGAAGAAAUUGAACCUGUGGAGGUACUGGAAGAAGAAGAAGAAGAAGAAGAGGAACAACAACAAAAAAAGGUUAGAGACCUUUAUGAAUGCACUUACUGGCAAUACUAGUUAUCAUGCACUCAGAAUCAAAGGAAGUAUCAAAGUCAAGUUCCUUAUUGUACAGAUUGAUAGUGGGAGCAAUUACAAUUUUAUGACUCCUUAAUGGGUAAAAGGAAGUGGAGAAUUAGUUCAAACCCCUCCUUUGGAAAUGACUGCAGCCAAUGGAGAAAAAUUAUACAGUACUGAGCAAUGUAACAACCUUCAUUGGAGGAUACAAGGAUAUGUUUUUUAAGACAAUUUGAAGGUACUUCCUAUGGGGGUUACAAACAUGGCCCUAGGGGUGGAUUGGAUGAAGGGUUUCAGUCCCUUAAUUUUUUGACUUCAAGGCCAGGAUACUUACUUUCAACCAGGGUGAUCAGCAAGUAGUAUCGAAGGCGAAUCUAUAGAGGAUAAAGUGAAGUUCCUCAAGGAAUCAAGGCCCCAAAAGUUGAUAGGAAAAGAGCUAGAGGUAGACACACGACAAGAUGGAAUUCCAUUAAAAAUUUAACAAUUGCUAACGGACUAUGAUGAUGUGUUUCAAGAACCUUAAGCACUACCUAAAAAAAGAUUCCAUGACCAUGCUAUUCCUCUAAAACCAGGGUACAAG
rnacentral:lncRNA from 1 species